rnacentral:rRNA from 1 species
AUGAUAUUAUGAUAUUGUUUAAGUAGGAUUUGUUAAUUAAAGUAAUUUUUAAGUGGGAUUUUUAGUAUAGUUUAUGGAACUUAUAGGAUGGGUAAUAGAGUAGUAGUACUGUGGAGGAAUUAUGAAAUAGAUGAAAGAGUUAUUGGAAUAGAAGAAGAAUAUAAUUUGUACCUUGGGUAUCAGGGUUUAUUAAUUAAUAAUAAUGAUUUUUAUGGCUCCCGAAUUGAGAAGGGUUAAAGUAGUAUGAUAAUUAAUGUGAUAUUAUUAUUGGUAAUGCUACUUUAGGAAUGAAAUGUUAAACGUUUCUUAAGUUAUCUGGUUUUUCAAGAAAUGAAUUUAAUUCAUGUUAUUAAGAGUAAAGAUUUAAUUUUUCGUUAAUGAUUUAUUUUUGAUAUCAAAUAUGUGAAGGGAUAAGCUUUUAUGUAAAUAUUAUAAAUUAUGGAAUAUUUUUAAAGAGUAGUAGGCUUUAAAUUAGCUAUCAAUGGGAUAAUGUUAUAAAUUGUUUUGUAGGUUAGUUAUUUUUUAAUGUUUUUAAUUUGUUUAUUGAAAUGUUGUAUUAAAUAGGUUAAUAUAAGUAAUAAUGAUAAAAUGAGUAUAUAAAAUGUUUCCUAAGUUUUAUGGGAGAAUUAUAGUAAGGAACUAGGCCAAUUAUCCCCCGCCCGUUUAUCAAAAACAUCUCCUUUUGUUUUUAUUUAAGGUAGGGCCUGCCCACUGAAAAUUAUUUGAAGGGCCGCGGUAUUAUGACCGUGCAAAGGUAGCAUAAUCAUUAGUCUUUUAAUUGAAGGCUGGUAUGAAUGGUUUGACGAGGUGAUAACUGUCUCAUUAUAAUAUAUAGAAGUUAACUUUUGAGUUAAAAGGCUUAAAUGUUUAUGGAGGACGAGAAGACCCUAUAGAGCUUUAUAUAUAGGUUUAGAUUUGUAUUUAGGAGUUUGUGAAAGUUUGAAUUGAUUAUAUUGUGUUGGGGUGACAUAAAGAUAGGAUUAACUCUUUAUUUUUGAUACAUUGAUGUAUGGAUUAUUGAUCCAUUUAUAGUGAUCAUAAGAUUAAGUUACCUUAGGGAUAACAGCGUAAUUUUUCUUGAGAGUUCAUAUCAACAGAGAAGAUUGCGACCUCGAUGUUGGAUUAAGGAAUAUAAUUAGAUGCAGCAGUUUAAUUAAUAGGUCUGUUCGACCUUUAAAUCCUUACAUGAUCUGAGUUCAGACCGGUGUAAGCCAGGUCGGUUUCUAUCCUUAUURGAUUUUUAUACUUUAGUACGAAAGGACCAAGUAUUUUAAAUAUUUUAUGAUAUUUGAUUAUUAGUA